GUGAGGAAUAUUGGUCAAUGGGCGGGAGCCUGAACCAGCCAAGUCGCGUGAAGGAAGAAGGAUCUAUGGUUCGUAAACUUCUUUUGCAGGGGAAUAAAGUGCAGGACGUGUCCUGUUUUGUAUGUACCCUGAGAAUAAGGAUCGGCUAACUCCGUGCCAGCAGCCGCGGUAAUACGGAGGAUCCGAGCGUUAUCCGGAUUUAUUGGGUUUAAAGGGUGCGUAGGUGGUUUGAUAAGUCAGCGGUGAAAGUUUGCAGCUUAACUGUAAAAAUGCCGUUGAAACUGUCGGACUUGAGUGUAAAUGAGGUAGGCGGAAUGCGUGGUGUAGCGGUGAAAUGCAUAGAUAUCACGAAGAACUCCGAUUGCGAAGGCAGCUUACUAAGCUACAACUGACACUGAAGCACGAAAGCGUGGGGAUCAAACAGGAUUAGAUACCCCAGUAGUCC
rnacentral:rRNA from 1 species